UGGAUAGCAGGUCUUGGCCGACUCAGUGACUAGUUACCGGCCGCGUAUCUUGACCGUGCGAAGGUAGCGCAAUCACUUGUCUUUUAAAUGAAGACCUGUAUGAAUGGUGGACACGAGGGCUUAACUGUCUCCCUUUUCAAGUCAAUGAAAUGGAUCUGCCCGUGCAGAAGCGGACAUAUAAAUACAAGACGAGAAGACCCUUUGGAGCUUAAGAUAUAAGAUCAACUAUGUUAAGAAUAACUUAAACCAAUUAAACUAAAUAGUAACUGAUCCCUAUCUUCGGUUGGGGCGACACGGGGAGAAAAUUAAGCUCCCACGUGGACUGGGGGUACCCCUAAAACUAAGAAGAAGACAUCUCUAAGUCACAGAACAUCUGACCAAACAGAUCCGGCUUAUUAAGCCGAUCAACGGGACAAGUUACCCUUAGGGAAUAACACAGGCGCAAUUCCUUCUUCCAGAGUCCAAUAUCCGACAGAGGGUUUUACGACCUCCAAUGUUGGGAUCAGGACAUCCUAAUGGUGCAGCCGGUUUAAGGGGUUACGUAUGGUUCACG
rnacentral:rRNA from 1 species